ACAUUUCUUCUCAUUUUCUCUCCUCUUCAUAUGCCUUUUUAUUUUCUCAUGAAAAACUGUCUUCUUACAUUCAAUCAAACUGAUAUGAGCUUGCAGACUCACCCUUCUUCAACCCCUUUUUUCUCUUUCCCUCCUUGGUCUUACUGCUUUUUUUCUUCAAUUUUUUUUUUAUAAGAUUUUUAUUUUUAUUUUCCUUUAUUUAAUUAAUAAACUUUAACUUUCACAAAUCUAUAAAUGCAGUGGCACUAGAAAUGUAUUUAAUGUUAAGUUACUUCUGUUUCAUAGUGUAUUGUGGGAGUCAAUCAAUAUAUGAAAGUGAUUGCAAAAAGAAUUCCCAAAUCAAGAGAUCCAAUGUGAUAUUGAUUUAUGAAGCUCAUCACAUCUUGUCUUGUAGUGGUAGUAAAUGUCCAAAACCCAUACAACCCAAUUCAAAAAGUGCCAUGUUCAAGCCAUUUUAGGUCCAAAUUCAGGUUUUCCACAAAACCCAGAUUCCAAAAAUGCCCAUUUCAGUCAUUAUAGGUCCAGAAAUUCCAAAUUCCUACUAAACCCAAUUUUUUUU